AUUGAACGCUGGCGGCAUGCCUUACACAUGCAAGUCGAACGGUAACGCGGGGCAACCUGGCGACGAGUGGCGAACGGGUGAGUAAUGCAUCGGAACGUGCACGGUAGUGGGGGAUAACUGCUCGAAAGAGCAGCUAAUACCGCAUCCGACCUGAGGGUGAAAGGGGGGGAUCGCAAGACCUCUCGCUAUCGGAGCGGCCGAUGUUGGAUUAGGUAGUUGGUGGGGUAAAGGCCUACCAAGGCGACGAGCCGUAGCUGGUCUGUGAGGACGACCAGGCACACGGGGACUGGGACACGGCCCAGACUCCUACGGGAGGCAGCUGUGUGGGAUGUUGGACAAUGGACGCAAUUCUGAUCCUGCCAUGCCGCGUGCGGGAAGAAGGCCUUCGGGUUGUAAACCGCUUUUGUCAGGGAAGAAAUCUUCUGAGUUAAUACCUCGGGAGGAUGACGGUACCUGAAUAAUAAGCACCGGCUAACUACGUGCCAGCAGCCGCGGUAACAC
rnacentral:rRNA from 1 species